CCCUUAGAUGUUCUGGGCUGCACGCGCGCUACACUGAUGCGCUCAACGAGUUUUCGAACUUGCCCGGAAGGGUUGGUUAAUCUUUUUAAAACGCAUCGUGAUGGGGAUAGAUUAUUGCAAUUAUUAAUCUUCAACGAGGAAUUCCUAGUAAGCGCGAGUCAUCAGCUCGUGCUGAUUACGUCCCUGCCCUUUGUACACACCGCCCGUCGCUCCUACCGGUUGAGUGAUCCGGUGAAUAAUUCGGACUGCAGUCGUGUUCAGUUCCUGAACGUGGCAGCGGAAAGUUUAGUGAACCUUAUCACUUAGAGGAAGGAGAANUCGUAACA
rnacentral:rRNA from 1 species